rnacentral:rRNA from 1 species
CUCCUUUGACGUUAGCGGCGGACGGGUGAGUAACACGUGGGUAACCUACCUAUAAGACUGGGAUAACUUCGGGAAACCGGAGCUAAUACCGGAUAAUAUUUCGAACCGCAUGGUUCGAUAGUGAAAGGUGGUUUUGCUAUCACUUAUAGAUGGACCCGCGCCGUAUUAGCUAGUUGGUAAGGUAACGGCUUACCAAGGCGACGAUACGUAGCCGACCUGAGAGGGUGAUCGGCCACACUGUAACUGAGACACGGUCCAGACUCCUACGGGAGGCAGCAGCC